rnacentral:rRNA from 1 species
CCUACGGGUGGCUGCAGUGGGGAAUAUUGGACAAUGGGCGCAAGCCUGAUCCAGCAAUGCCGCGUGGGUGAAGAAGGCCUUCGGGUUGUAAAGCCCUUUUGUACGGGAAGAAAAGCUUCGGAUUAAUACUUCGAGGUCAUGACGGUACCGUAAGAAUAAGCACCGGCUAACUUCGUGCCAGCAGCCGCGGUAAUACGAAGGGUGCAAGCGUUAAUCGGAAUUACUGGGCGUAAAGCGUGCGUAGGUGGUUAGUUAAGUCUGUCGUGAAAGCCCUG